AAAAGCAUACUGCCCUUUAUUUUAAAAUUACCUGUUGACCCAUGUAAAAUCACUAAACUACCCCUAAUUAAAAACAAAUAAUAAAUUAAAAUAUCCAAAUCCCAAACGCGUAUCCACCGUCGGUCCAUUUUCUGGGUUGGAUUCUUGUUUUCGGUCGGGAAUUUUAUUUUUCUUUUGUUUUUUUCUCCAUCUUCUUCCUCCUCCCCUUCACAUCUUUUCAAAAAACUAACAAAAUUCCAACAAUCUUCUUUGUUCCCCUAAUAUAAGGACCGCAGACCGACGGAGGUUCAACCAGCGUCCGGGAAGGUGUGGCGGCGCAAACCGGCGGCAUAUUCCAUGGUGGAUCUACACUCACAAAUUAACUCUCUGCCCCUAUGUAUAUAGGUGAAUUUUCUUUGUACAAAAUUCCAAAAUCCGGAAUAAAAAAAAUUGGAUCUGGAAUUUGGUCCCUUCUUUCUCUGUCUCGAAGGUUACGACAUACAUCUAUGGCGGCCCGGUUGAAAAUCGAAUCUUGGCCCUCUUCUUUCUCUAUGUUGAAGAAAUCCAAAAAUCUCAAACCCUAAAGUUGGGCUUUUAGACUUGAAUUUGCUUUUGAUGAAGAUUCCGAUGAAAUUCUGGAGCACCGGUAGUCGUCGAUGUGGCGGCGACAUUAAAGUACGUGGUGGGGAGAAUGGAUGGCAGUAUUGGAAGGAUGAUUUGAUGGUGACGAUGAAAUGGUGCAGGGAAGCUGUAUAAAUAAAUUUUUUAAAUUGCAAUUUUAUCCAAAAAGUUGGAUUAUUUAUUUUUAAAUCCAAAUGAAUUUAUGUUUAGUUAUAAAAUAAUUUUAGAGGGCAUUUCGGACUUUUCAUUACACAAAUAUAAUAAAGAGUUGCAGAAUCAGUGCGUGUAACACACAAUCAGCCCGCAGGGGUCUUUCAUGCUUUGACUAAUUUUCAUAGGGG
rnacentral:lncRNA from 1 species